UACAGAGGGGGCAAGCGUUGUUCGGAAUUACUGGGCGUAAAGGGCGCGUAGGCGGCCCGCUAAGUCGAACGUGAAAUCCCCGAGCUCAACUCGGGAACUGCGUCCGAUACUGGCGGGCUUGAAUCCGGGAGAGGGAUGCGGAAUUCCUGGUGUAGCGGUGGAAUGCGCAGAUAUCAGGAGGAACACCAAUAGCGAAGGCAGCUCGCUGGGACGGUAUUGACGCUGAGGCGCGAAAGCGUGGGGAGCAAACAGG
rnacentral:rRNA from 1 species